CCAAGGCACAGAGUUGGAAAAAAGUGAUCUUGGAGCAAAAAUCCCCCGUCUUUAAAGGGAGGUGGAUGGGCAAAUAAUCAGUGAUAAGAUAUGCAUCGGGAUGGCACCACUAUUUUUAGUGUAAGAUCAUGGAAGUGCUCCCUUACUCCAGCUUUCAGCAACAACUUCUGUCUAUGAUGGAGAAUCCAACUGCCCUGAGCAUGGAAAGCAAGAGCAAGUGGCAGAUGGCAGAGUAGAUGACUUAUUGCCAAAUGUGGAAGGGCCUCAACUAGUAAGACAAGGUCAAGUUCAAGAGGCAGUUGAUGAAUUGCAUACCUCAGAAGGAUGUCAAAAUGGAGCUUCAUGUCUUGAUUGUCAAGCGGAGGAGGGCCAAAAGUUAUCCAGUGUUUUGCAUGAUUUUGAUGGUGAUGACAUAAAUGAACAGAAUUACUGCACAGAACCUUGCCUAACCUCUGGCAAUGGUCAUCUGAUUGUAGAUAGCAGGGAAAGUGAAUUGCCAAACAACAUUUGGGAAGGAGAGUCGUAUCUUUGAGAGCCUACGUAGCUAGAAAGUGAUGAAUCUGUGGCACUGUGGAUCAAGGUAACUUUUAUUUCUUCCACUUUCAAAUCUUUGCUUUGUUAUCACAACCUAAACCUUUUCUUAUGCAAUUUCUCGUGCCUGUUGCAUAUCAAGUUGGCUAGCCUCAUUAUCUUUACCCAUAAGUUUACAGUUCUAGGAUGCCUCCAACUGGCUGCUUGUGCUUUUCCUCCUUUUCCCCCUUGAUGUUCAAACAUAACAUCAUUGCAGGUUCUUCUUUGAAGCCAAUGUACCAGUGUCUUUUGUUAAUUAUGACGAUAGAAAACCCGCAAAAUACUGGCUGAGAAUAUUGCACAGCUAAACUCCGCCAUAGACGAUGUUUCUGCUCAGCUGCAUGCAGACGAUGCCCCAAACGGAGCUGCAUUGGCUUCAGAUGAAAUUGAAGCUUCCAUAUAAUAGAAUGCUUCCAGAGUUUUUGUAUAACUUGGUAU